UCUACCAGUGGAAUCUAUUUCAAAGGCU
rnacentral:sRNA from 1 species